rnacentral:rRNA from 1 species
UACGUAGGGUGCAAGCGUUAAUCGGAAUUACUGGGCGUAAAGCGUGCGCAGGCGGUUUUGUAAGUCUGACGUGAAAUCCCCGGGCUUAACCUGGGAAUUGCGUUGGAGACUGCAAGGCUGGAGUCUGGCAGAGGGGGGUAGAAUUCCACGUGUAGCAGUGAAAUGCGUAGAGAUGUGGAGGAACACCGAUGGCGAAGGCAGCCCCCUGGGUCAAGACUGACGCUCAUGCACGAAAGCGUGGGGAGCAAACAGG